rnacentral:rRNA from 1 species
AAUGAACGCUGGCGGCAGGCCUAACACAUGCAAGUCGAACGGAUCCUUCGGGAUUAGUGGCGGACGGGUGAGUAACGCGUGGGAACAUACCCAAAGGUACGGAAUAGCCUCGGGAAACUGGGAGUAAUACCGUAUGUGCUCGAAAGAGGAAAGAUUUAUCGCCUUUGGAUUGGCCCGCGUUGGAUUAGGCAGUUGGUGGGGUAAUGGCCUACCAAGCCGACGAUCCAUAGCUGGUUUGAGAGGAUGAUCAGCCACACUGGGACUGAGACACGGCCCAGACUCCUACGGGAGGCAGCAGUGGGGAAUCUUAGACAAUGGGGGAAACCCUGAUCUAGCCAUGCCGCGUGAUCGAUGAAGGCCUUAGGGUUGUAAAGAUCUUUCAGGUGGGAAGAUAAUGACUGUACCACCAGAAGAAGCCCCGGCUAACUCCGUGCCAGCCGCCGUAAUAC